UCCCAAAGUGUUGAGUUCAGUACAGGUUACUUUGCUCCUGCACUGGUAAUUUAACUUUGGAAAAGUGAAAAGCCUUGGAGUUGUUACACUUGAUGGCAAUAUGUGCCCUCAUAGGGGCACUCUUGGCUUGACAG